rnacentral:lncRNA from 10 species
CAGGGCCAGGGAAGGGCCAGGGUGAGGCCAAGAGGGCGGGUGAGGACAGCCCAGCCCAGCUCCUCACUGCUGGGGAGCCUGGUGUGGGGGCAGGACUGCUCUUGGCAGCUAUGUUCUCCCUGGAUGGAGAGAAGGCCUGUGUGUCUAUGGAGUGUGUUGCUGCAGGGAAGGCUUCCCAGUGGAGGUGGCUCCUGAGCUCUAGGAAAAGGGAAGUGAGUGUCCUUCCAGGCAGAGGGAACAGCAGGUGCAAAGGCCUGGGGGCUCGUCUAUAAGGCCCGCUGGAGUCACAAGCCCCAUCCCAGACUCUCCAACGCUGGACCUGCAGCGCCCAGCCCUGCCCUGGUGCUACCACCUGCCAGCUCUGUGCCUGCCCCUCCACUAGAUCAUGACUUCGGCUCCAGCUCCCUCACUCUCCAUGCCUCUCACUUGCGGGUUGUGCCCUGCUCAGCUGGCCAGACUUUGGCCCCCUCCCUACCUGGAUUUGUGAAGCCCCAAAUUUCAUCUCCCCCACCACACUUAUUCACAGCCUCCGCCUGCUGACAUACCCAGGCAAGACUCCCUUCCCCUCCAGGCAGCCAAACUUCAGUUCGAAUCUUCUGGCUCUUACCAGACCCCUGAUGAAUCCCAGGAUCUUCGCAGGUGGUCCCAGGGCCUCUUUGAACCACAGUUUUACUUAUCUGAAAAAUAAAAAGGCAUGAUUUAGAUG